AAAGGGCAGAGGAGAAAUCAUUCUCAAAUCUCUAUUCUCUAAUCAUUAACACAUUCACGUCUCUCUCCCUCUCUCUUCUCCAAUGGUCUCUCUCCCUUCUCCCGUCCAUUCGCCACCUCCUCUCCCUACGGACCGUUACCUCCGGCAGUUCCCACGCCGACCCUCUUUGUCCCUUCUCACACCUCGACCUCCUUCCACCCUUCUCGCCUCCGACGCUCUACGCCGUCCCCUCCGACUCAUAUUCCCGCGCGCGGCCCAACCCCGCUACCCCGACCCACAAGCCUCCGGCGACUCGGCCGCCCUCAAGAUAGCCAUUAUUGGGUUCGGCAACUUCGGUCAGUUCCUUGCCAAAACCAUAGUCAGCCAAGGCCACACCGUGUUAGCUCACUCUCGAUCCGACUAUUCUCGUGUCGCUCAAUGCCUCGGCGUCUCCUUCUUCCCUGACGCCCACGACCUCUGCGAGGAACACCCAGAUGUGAUUCUCCUCUGCACUUCUAUAAUUUCAACGCAGCGGGUCCUUCAGUCGCUGCCUCUGCAUCGUUUCAAGCGGAAUACGUUGUUUGUCGAUGUUCUUUCAGUCAAAGAAUUCCCAAGAAAUCUCUUUCUGCGAAAUUUGCCCGGAGAUUUUGAUAUUCUAUGUACUCACCCGAUGUUUGGACCAGAGAGCGGUAAAAACGGUUGGAAUGGGCUCACAUUUGUGUAUGAUAAGGUUAGGGUUGGGAGUGAGGAUCCGAGGGUCCUGAGGUGUGAGCGUUUUCUUGAGAUUUUUGAAAAAGAGGGGUGUAGGAUGGUGGAGAUGAGUUGUGCAGAGCAUGAUAGGUAUGCGGCAGAAUCUCAGUUUAUUACGCACACGACAGGGAGGGUUUUGGAGAAGUUGGAGUUGGACCCGACGCCAAUUAGUACAAAGGGGUAUGAGACUUUGUUGGAUUUGGUGGAGAACACGACGGGGGAUAGCUUCGAGUUGUACUAUGGUUUGUUUAUGUACAAUAAGAAUGCAAUGGAGCAGUUGGAGAGAUUGGAUUUGGCAUUUGAGUCGCUCAAGAAACUGUUGUUUGGAAACCUGCACGAGGUGCUGAGGGAGCAGUUGUUUGGGAAUGUGGAGAAGUUGCAAGCUCCGCUGGAGAAGCCAGCAGUACCCAAGCAAGUACAGAAUGGGGUUCCAAGGACGCUACCUUUAGAAAAUUUGAGAUGUCAAAAUGCUGCUGAACAUGGCGAAGCAGAGUCUGACAAUCACUUCGAUAACACCUCAAACCUCAAGGUUGCCGUUGUUGGAUUUGGCAACUUUGGUCAGUUCCUUGCAAAAACAUUUGUUCGUCAAGGACACAAGGUUUUAGCGUAUUCUCGAUCAAACUACUCUGAUGUAGCUCAGAAAUUAGGGGUUUAUUUCUUCUCUAAUGCUGAUGAUCUAUGUGAAGAGCAUCCAGAGGUGGUUCUUCUCUGUUCGUCAAUUAUUUCGACUGAGCAGGUUCUUAGGUCUUUACCUAUUCAGAGAUUGAAGAGAAGUACACUGUUUGUUGAUGUUCUUUCUGUGAAAGAAUUCCCAAGGAACUUGUUUCUUCAGAUUUUGCCUUCACAUUUUGAUGUUCUCUGCACACAUCCGAUGUUUGGACCAGAGAGUGGUAAACAUGGAUGGAAGGAUCGUCCUUUUGUUUUUGACAAAGUUAGGGUUGGCAAUGAUGAAUCGAGGAUAUCAAGGUGUGAGCGGUUUCUUGAUAUAUUUGCACGAGAAGGUUGUCAAAUGGUGGAGAUGACUUGUGCAGAGCAUGAUCAUCAUGCUGCAGGCUCACAAUUCAUUACACACACAAUGGGAAGGGUUUUGGAGAAGUUGGGGUUGGAGUCAACGCCAAUUAACACAAAAGGAUAUGAAACUUUGUUGAAUUUGGUUGAUAAUACAUCUGGUGAUAGCUUUGAUCUCUACUAUGGAUUAUUCAUGUAUAAUACAAAUGCAAUGGAGCAGCUGGAGAGGUUGGAUCUGGCUUUUGAAUCACUGAAGAAACAACUCUUUGGACAGUUGCAUGGCAUUAUUCGGAAGCAAUUAUUCGGCUAUGAAGACAACUUGCAGAUUUCACAAGAAAAGACUGUCCUGCCAAAAAUACUUAAAAAAGAUGCUGCACUGGCACCUCCUGAAACUUUCAGAGUGUAAGGAGGACAUCACAGCAACAAGUGGCAUUUCAUGCAUUAUGUGCUAUUUUUUCUGAUGUUGAGUAAUGUUAUUUCGAUCAGAAUCAGUGGUGAAGAAUUCUCAUGGUGUGCUAGUUCGUUGUACAUUCCUUGGGGCUGCAGAAAGAGGCUUGUAAUCUCCGAAGUUUUUGAUUUCACUAAUUGACCAAGUGAUAGAAAGUUGUUCAAGAUGAUUUAGUAAUAUACUGUGCAGGCCAGGAGUGUUUUGUUUAAUGUUGAAGCCUGAAGGUGCUGCUUGAUUAAAAAGAUGCAGAAAUAGUAGCACAAAUGGAGGUGAUGCAGUAAACAUGCUGUCCCAUGAUUUGAAGGGACCGUAUGGCUCUAGAAUCUAGAUAUAGCAAAAUCGCAAGGAGGGAUUCAUUUAGCCAAUCCUGAGCCAUUGAAAGUGAUCUUUUAGACCAAUGCUGUGGUAUCAGACUUAAAAGCAAUCCCAUGAGCUGAGAGCUAUCCAAAAAUUCUAGAGCUUUCUCUGGUGGCUGAUGAAGAUGCAUGGCAAAUGAUAUUGAACUAGCCAACAACGCUUCGCUGUCUUUAUAGUAUCUUUGUGGGCUUUCUUGUUCCUGACCAGUGCUUGCACUUUACCCCAUCAAGAAGGGGAGAUCAGGCCAUGCUGCUUUUGGCAUCUGCUUAAACUGGGACCCUUAUUGAAUUGGAACAGAGAAAUGUAAUCUAAACAGUUCUUAAUUUCAAGUGAAUGUGGUUAUGUAAUGACAAGGACAUGAUGUAACCAGAUAUGGACUUAUAACCAAAUAUAGACUCCUCUGCUUUCCCAA